CAUUAACUUUGCAAGGGGAAAGGUCAAGAUGGAGUCUAUAGCAUCCAUAAAACAGGCCAUCCAUCAGGAUGACUGGCUAACAUCGAUAGACCUGAAAGAUGCAUACUACCAGAUCCCAAUACAUUAAUUCCAUCAGAAGUUCCUGAGAUUCUGGAUAUCAGGAAAACACUAUCAGUUCCAGGGCAUGCCAUUUGGUCUAAGUUUGGCACCAAGAACAUUCUCG